AUUACUCUUAAAAGAUCACCAAUUGAGUCUAUUUUGUAGGCUAGGGCUUCUGGACAAUUUAGAGCAAGGGAUGAUUGUCUUCAGUUUUCAGGUGAAUGUGAAGGGAUGAAGAAAGUGAAGAAGGUCAGUUUUCAGGUGAAUGUGAGCAAGAUGUACUUCCAGAAGGCUACAAAGCUCAUCCUUUAGAAUAGGAAGCUGAAAUUUUGAGUUUCUGGGCAAGGUGGAGGCUGGCUGAGUGAUGAACUUCGGUAGGCGAGAUGGGCAUGCAUGAUAGAACUAGUGGAGGUUAGUGAUGCGUUAUGGCAUAUGUUGGACGCACAACCUACACGCAAGGAAGGCAACGUGCAUGGGGGCUAUGCGUGACGCCAGGGGCGUAGCAUGCCUGUGCAUGAGGUUAGCGCGCGCGCCAAGGCCCUGCCAUCCAGCCAUGCGCGCCAGAUAGUGUCAUAAGGUUAAAAAGAGAUCGAGAAAAUUUAUAUACCAAUGACUUGAGCUUGUAUUAGUGAGUGAAAAUAAAUUUAUUAAAGUGAUUUCAAACA